rnacentral:rRNA from 1 species
GAUGAACGCUGGCGGCGUGCCUAAUACAUGCAAGUCGAGCGAACAGAUAAGGAGCUUGCUCCUUUGACGUUAGCGGCGGACGGGUGAGUAACACGUGGGUAACCUACUUAUAAGACGGGGAUAACUUCGGGAAACCGGAGCUAAUACCGGAUAACAUUUGGAACCGCAUGGUUCUAAAGUGAAAGAUGGUUUUGCUAUCACUAAUAGAUGGACCCGCGCCGUAUUAGCUAGUUGGUAAGGUAACAGCUUACCAAGGCGACGAUACGUAGCCGACCUGAGAGGGUGAUCGGCCACACUGGAACUGAGACACGGUCCAGACUCCUACGGGAGGCAGCAGUAGGGAAUCUUCCGCAAUGGGCGAAAGCCUGACGGAGCAACGCCGCGUGAGUGAUGAAGGGUUUCGGCUCGUAAAACUCUGUUAUUAGGGAAGAACAAACGUGUAAGUAACUGUGCACGUCUUGACGGUGCCUAAUCAGAAAGCCACGGCUAACUACGUG